rnacentral:rRNA from 1 species
ACGGGGGGGGCAAGCGUUGUUCGGAAUUACUGGGCGUAAAGGGCUCGUAGGCGGCCAACUAAGUCAGACGUGAAAUCCCUCGGCUUAACCGGGGAACUGCGUCUGAUACUGGAUGGCUUGAGGUUGGGAGAGGGAUGCGGAAUCCCAGGUGUAGCGGUGAAAUGCGUAGAUAUCUGGAGGAACACCUGAGGCGAAGGCGGGUUACUGGGCUGAUACUGACGCUGAUGCGCGAAAGCCAGGGGAGCAAACGGGA